UGGGGAAUAUUGGACAAUGGGCGCAAGCCUGAUCCAGCCAUGCCGCGUGAGUGAUGAAGGCCCUAGGGUUGUAAAGCUCUUUCACCGGUGAAGAUAAUGACGGUAACCGGAGAAGAAGCCCCGGCUAACUUCGUGCCAGCAGCCGCGGUAAUACGAAGGGGGCUAGCGUUGUUCGGAUUUACUGGGCGUAAAGCGCACGUAGGCGGACUUUUAAGUCAGGGGUGAAAUCCCGGGGCUCAACCCCGGAACUGCCUUUGAUACUGGAAGUCUUGAGUAUGGUAGAGGUGAGUGGAAUUCCGAGUGUAGAGGUGAAAUUCGUAGAUAUUCGGAGGAACACCAGUGGCGAAGGCGGCUCACUGGACCAUUACUGACGCUGAGGUGCGAAAGCGUGGGGAGCAAACAGGAUUAGAUACCCGAGUAGUCCCUGAGCGGGCUGGCAAGGCGCAU
rnacentral:rRNA from 1 species